rnacentral:rRNA from 1 species
UCAGGUGUGGAAGUGCAGUAAUGCAUUAAGCUAACUGAUACUAAUUGCCCGUACGGCUUGUCCCUAUAACCUUAGCAGGAUAUA